rnacentral:tRNA from 1 species
AUCUCGCUUACACCGAGAAAACACCCGUGAAACCCGAGUCAUUUUGA